rnacentral:rRNA from 1 species
UACGAAGGGGGCUAGAGAUGUUCGGCAUUACGGGGCGUAAAGCGCACGUAGGCGGACUCUUAAGUCAGGGGUGAAAUCCCGGGGCUCAACCUCGGAACUGCCUUUGAUACUGUGAGUCUCGAGACCGGAAGAGGUGAGUGGAAUUCCUAGUGUAGAGGUGAAAUUCGUAGAUAUUAGGAAGAACACCAGUGGCGAAGGCGGCUCACUGGUCCGGUUCUGACGCUGAGGUGCGAAAGCGUGGGGAGCAAACAGG